rnacentral:snRNA from 1 species
GGAUUAACCGAUAUGGUUUACCC